rnacentral:lncRNA from 1 species
UUAGAGAAGAUAGGUUGAAGAAAGAAGAGGUGUGCUGGAGACCAAUUAAAUCAGGUUAGAACUCUCAAAUUCAUUUGCUGGUUCACUCUGCCCGUGUUCUACAAAAGCCCUAGUUUCAGUUUGUGCCGUGGCUCAGCUUCCUCUCCUCAUCAUAGAAUGUUGGCUUCAUAUAAUCGUCCCCUAAUCUGCCCAGCCUCAGAAUUAAGGUAAAGAGCAUAAAUAGUGCUCUGGCUGUGGAAAACACCUCAAAAUUGUCAGACCUCUGAGCCCAAGCCAAGCCAUUGCAUUCCCUGUGACUUGCACGCAUUCGCCAAGAUGCAAGAUGGCCUGAAGUAACUGAAGAAUAACAAAAGAAGUGAAAAUGCCC